rnacentral:tRNA from 1 species
UCCUUUAUGACUUUUAAAGGAUCU